CCAGCCGGGGCGGCGGCGGGGGGGUGUCCCUUCUCCCGGCUCGCCUGGCGUGACGGCGCGGCGCGGGCUCGGACCGGCCCCCGCGCCCAGGCCCGCUGGAGAGGCGUGCGGCGUGGCGGUCGGUGCGGCCGGGAUGCCGCAUCCGCAGGGCCUCACGGCGGGCUGCGGCCCGGCGGCGUGCCCGCCUCCGCAACGGCGGGUCGGGCUCUCGGGGUCGGGCUUUCCCCAGCAGCCCCACCGCCCUGCAGCCCCGGGUGCUGCGCUGGAAGUCUAGGAAACGCUCACGGGUGGAAAUGCCGGGUAGCUUUUUAGUCCUGAAGUGCACUUCUUGAAAUCGUUCUGUUGAAUUUAGCAGUUUGUGAGGAUUCCCCGAUGGGAUUAUGCAUUAGGACCAGCAGUUAUGACUACAAAACAUUCGUUAGGUGGCGAACGCUGCUAAGCAAGGGUUAAUAUGGAAGGCCCGUAUGCUGGCAGGUUAACAUCUGUUCAAUACGUUGCACCUCACAGGCUAACGUAUGUUUUGCAUCUCUUCGGGAAGAACCUUUUGUGCACUGUGAUUUUCUUUCAUUAUGCACAGUGAAAAUAAAAGGUAUUUUAUUCUGGAAACCAGAUGCAGAAGUAGCUACUGAUGUUUUUAUUUACAUCCAGACAUUGUUGUAAGAUCAAGAGCUUUUGUCCAGUUUAAUGAAAAACAAUAAAGCGUUCAUAGUUUCCAAUGUCAUGUGUUAAACAAUCUGAUAGAUUUCACUAAAUCAAAUUCUGCUCUGUCACACCAGGGAGGUCUGGAGUAACUCCAUUAUCUUCAGGUGUAGCACAGGCCAUAAAAGUAAUUAUUUCUCUCCGUAGUUGCAAAAAUGCACUCACAGGCGGGCAUGGCUCUCAGCAGAUGACGCCCGUGUUUCGGGCACACCGCAUCGUCCUGCGUGUUGCUAAAGCUGCGUCUUGGGAACGUCAGCUCUGGACAGAGAGCUGCCUUAGCUCAGACAUCUUCCCCUCUCCGCUGCAGUGUGACAUGCUGUAUCUGGUGUGCUUCACUGCAAAUGCUGAAGGAAGCUCCCUGUCCUCCUCAGUGUUGGACUCUUGUUCUAUCUGUCUGUGCUAGGACUUAUUUUGUUCUUGAGCCCUGAGCAUUCUUGAGGAGCCAAACAAAAUGGAGAAGCUUGUUUAGAAAGACUGACUUGUUGGAAAGAUGAAAAGGCACGUAUUGCUAAAUUGUGGUGGCAGAUCUGAAGGCUGUCCACGAGUCCUUAAACAAUAAAACUAGGUAAAGAGGGAACUUCCUUAAAGUUUUUCAGCUUAUCGUAAACCAAAAUAAUGGGAUAAAGUCAAAUAGAGAAAAGUAGGAACAUUCUCUGUACAGGGAGCCAGAUCCUUUUUGUAAUUGAUCCUAGGAGAUGACUUAAAGUCUGUUGAAAAUCUAGGUUCAGUCUCUGAAAAGAAGAAAGAAAAUUACUUUUGCUGUCACUGUCCAUAGCGCACAGCUACUUCGGCAUGCGGAAUCAAAAAUCACCCCUUUUUAAAAGCCCAGCUGGUUUGCAACCUUGGAGCUAAUCUGCCCCCGUCACCUGGAGGACUUUUUCAGUGUUACUGUUUUCCCAGUGCUCCAUAUCAUCCCUGAUGAAUUUGGACUGUUUUCAUCUAACUCUGAUAUCUUCCAUUUUUUGCACUAAAUCUCAUCUUGCUUACUCAGGUAUUCUUAAGUUCUUAAAUGUAUGUUUCUGGUGUUUUGUUUUGUUUUGGCCCCCCCCCCCCCUUUUUUUUUGCUUGCUACUGUUUGCCAGUUAGCAUUGUCUUCCUAUUUAAUUAGUUCGUUGUUAAAAGAUGUAUGUCAAAUUAUCCCAGGCACCGCCCUUCCACUUAAUAUUAUUGCCACUUUCAUAACCCUACAACUUCCAAUUAAUUUUCAGACCAUGUGAAAGUCCUUAGAUCCAAGCAAAUCUGAAUUAAUUUUUCAAGUAAAAUUUUUUAAGACACCGUAUUAAAUGCUUUAAUAAGGUCCAGAUACAUCAGCUGCAUUUCUGGUUCAAACUGCUUUACCCCUGUCUUUUGUGUUCUGAGUCUUCUUAUCUGAUGUGUAUCUGCCUUGAGGUCAACUGAAACUCCACCUACUAAGUAUAUGAAAGUCAGCAUUGGGAAAGCUUCCUGUAAUUCUGGCAUGAAAACUACACGGAAUAGAUGGCAAAGUUGAGCAUAACUGAAAAAUAAUAAUAAAAAAUAAAAAUGCUAAGUGUGAAAUUAGGAUGAAAUUUACAUUGUUUGAGGAGACUAAGAAUGAGAAAAACUGGUGUGUAGUCACAGAAACUUCUUUGCUCAUAAUUACCCUGUGAACACAAUGCUAUAUAACUAGAUCCUGCACAAGCAAGGUUACCUUGUGCCAUGCAGUCCCUAGAGAACAUUAUUAAUAGAACAUGUAAGCUGUGCGGUCCCACGCCUGGUGAGAUGCUGCUUUUUUCUAUGGAAGGGUGCAACUCCUAUUUACCUCUUCAUGUGUCUAGUGGCACUUGCGGGUUCUGUCCUUACCCCUUUGCUAGCACAGGAACUCAUGUGAUGACACAGCAAGUCAGUUCAUGGAGACGAUCCAACUGAACACUUGUUUACUUUUUUAUUAGUUUUUCUGCUGGAACAACUCAGCAAAGCAGGUCGCUGCCUGGGUACAUGAGGUCUGCAGCCAGUGCAAGGAAAAAUGCUGGUGGCUGUGUGGUCAGGAGAGGAAAUGAGGCUGGGAUCACGGUGGCAGUGGUUUAUGUACACUUAUCUUACUAUGGAACAAAGCCAUUAAUGAUUUCAGCCUUUAUGUCUUAGUCCAGUGUCGUGUCGUGUGUAUAAUGGGAUAUUAUAGUCCAGAGCAAGGCUUGAAAGCCUGCUGUGACAACCUGAAGAAUAAGCUGUGUUCUUGUGUGCCCUAGCAGCCUUAUCUGGAUAGGAUAGUGUUCAGCUGUAGCUCUCCGGGGGUUUGCAUAUUCACCAGGCAGGGCAUUUGUCUGUGCAACACACGCUCCUACUGCCUGUGUGGUGGUGCUACCCUAGCUUCUUGGUCACUUGGACCAGUGGAGUGCCUGGCCUGGAGUUGAAGGUGGCUUCUUGGCUGGAUUCCUCUGGCUGCUGAAUCCAUGAUUCUUCACAAGCGGAGGAGUUGGACCAUGAGUACUGGAAGACAUCUUCAUGUUGAAUUUAAAGGCUUCCUAGGCAGGGAUUGAAGAGAGGAGAAAUUUCUUCAGAUUUUGGAAGAGUUACUGUAUUUCUGAAGAUCCAGACGUAUUCUCUCUUUUAGUCACUUUAAUUACAAUGAGCAUUUGUUCUUUGGGUUGACAGCUUGUUGAGACUGUUCUUUAGUGGGAAAGAUGUAUUCGUUAUUGAAGGAAACCCCCCCCUGAAAUGCAACUGAGACGAUUCUGAGGGCUGACUUUUGGCUGAACCGCUAUCAGAGCUUUGGAUGUUAUUCAGCAAAAGUUGCGUUAUGAAUUCUGAGCAAAAGUGGCAAACAACCCUUAUGGAAUACACAUUUUUCCACUUAAAAUAAUCAUCCUGUGGCUGGUAAGAAUUGAUUUUUAGCAUUUUAAAUAUUGGGCCUGAUUUACCCAGUGCAGUGUGCCAGUUUUAUGCUGGUGUAAGACUUGGUCUAAGAAGAGCUGUAACAGUGUAAAAUGAACUCACGGAUGAGCCAAGCCCAAAAUCUCAUAGAAGAAUCCUUCCAUUUUCCACAAGGGACAUGCUGGCAUACAUCCCUGCAGCAAUAAUGUCUUGUUUAGCUGGUUUAAUUCUUCAGAAUUUCUGUGUUGCUGUACAAUAGGUAUCUUUAAUGAAAUGUGACAUCUUGCUUUUUAUUUACAGGUGGGAAGAAAGUUCUCUCUGAUGGAUGUGCAGGACAGGAAUGGAUCGGAUGUCAGCCCAUUCAUGGAAGGAAAAUGUUCAGGGAAAAGCAAGAAGGACCAGGGACUGGGAAGAGCUUCCUUAUGAAGGAAACCCAGCAGACCAGGACUCCACAACCUAUGGAAGAGGUGGUUUAGAGGGGAUACAAUAGCGGUCUAAUUGACUCUGCCUAACAAGCCAAGCAACUCAGACACAGCAAACGGAUCUCCAGCAUUACAAGGGGACGGAGACUGCCAAAAGGGAUGCUGCCAACUUCUAAACUCUCCCCGCCAAGGGUGACUGUAACUCUAGAAGGAAAGGGAUAUCUGAUUUGUUACUUGGCAUACUCCUGCUGUAUAGUCUGUUCUGCUGGCCCACUCAUUUUCAUAAUAGGAAAGGAAGAUGAGAAGCUUGCUUCUAAUGGGUUGAUUAGAUAUUAAAUAUUUUGGAACAAAACCAACUAAUAACUGGGAUGUCUUUCUGAUGGGGGAGAGAUCUCAGGAUGUUACAUUUGGAGAGAAAACUCUCCAAUUAGCUAAAAAUGCAGUUCUAGCCGAGUCAAGAAAGAGGUUCCUUCAUCCUAAUUUGAAAUCUAAAUUACUUUAGUUGAAGAGUAUAUAGUUCCUGAGUCUUAUGAGUAAGAAUAAUUGAAAAUGGAUUAAAUUGCCAUUUUUUUGUUCACAGUUGUUUUCUCCACAAAAAUGUGGACUAAAUUUGUACUCCCACUAGUGAAUGCCAAUUUGGAAGAAUUCCACUGGAUUCAUUGCGGUUGCCCUAGUUGCACCUUCCUUAGCGAGUACAGAAUCAGGCCCUGCGUGCAUAAUUUUUCCACUUUUAGACCUGAGGGAGUAUAAUCGGGAGCCAGGCUGAGGUCCCAUGCCAGAUCAAGUCUUUCAUAUGCAGAUUAUAAAAUCAGUGAAAAACAAGCUUGGUUUGGCAGUUACUUUACAAGAGACCUUUGGAUGAUUCUAUCAACAGCAGAAGAGGCAAUUCAUUCUUCAUGCUAGAAGUCAUCAUAUAUCUCAUUUUGGGAGAUGUGAUCAAUACUGACUGUUUUUUGUGUAGAGAGAAAAAUACCAUAUUUGGGAGAAAUUUUCUUAGGGCCACUUCAGGUCUCUGGAAACACUUCUGCCCUCAAAAACGUCAUCCUGUAAUCUCAGAGAAAUAUUUUUACCCAAUGUAUUUAGAUCAAUAUUUUUGAUUUAUUUAUUUCUAUAGUCUUGUCUCUUUGACUGUCUGAGACUUCAAAUAAGAUUUCAGAAGCUCAUCAAAAGUUUCUAUAUUCUGCUAGAAGCAUGGACAUUGAGUUAUAGUUGUGGUUUGGAUUUGUAGAUGCUAAUGCAAGAAAGCACCCAAGGAAUGCAACUUCUUUCAACUCUUGCACUACUAGAGACCUCAUAACCACUAAGGAAGGGAGUUAAAACAUGAUUUUCUCUUCAGCCAUUGCCAGGAAAGCUGCCAACCAGAUAGAUGAUCCAUGGUGGAUGGUCAACAAUCAUAGUUAAAAUAUCUGUAGGUGCUGCCAUUGUCUUUCGAAAGAAUGCAUAUUCCCCAAGUGAGCACAAAUAACAGAGAUAACAAGGUGGGCAUGGAUGUCUUUUCUGAAACAAUUGAUGGAUGUCUCAAGUCUUGUUGACUUGCACAGUGUCCAUGCAAGGGCCACAGGUCAGGCUGUGGCACUGUAAAUGCUGCCAUAACAUCCACCUUCCCAGUCAGGGGGUGCAGCAGCUCCUGUCAGGUGUAAUCGGUCGCCUCUCGGAUGACAUCUGAUACUCAACAAUUUGAUGCAGAGAAAAUAUUUUUACUAAAAUAGUUAAGGAUUAUUAAAAUAGCUGUACAGACAGUUGAUAGAGUUUGCAUUAAAGGGAGAUGACCAAGUACGGCCAUGUUUCUCUCCUGCAAAAAAUACUGAAAAUGCCUGCCAUUUCAACAGCAAAAUGUUUGCUCUGAGAGUGAGGCAUAGUAGAGAAUCACUCCUACUAUGAGUUAUUAGAGGUGAAGGAUCAAUUAUGACUCCAUUCUGAAGAAGGAUGAGGGAGCCACCCAGGCAAGCCAUCUCCUCAGUCUGCCUGCGUCUGAAUUCAGUGAUGUCUCCACAAAGAGGCCUGUAAGUGCAGGGUAGCCCUGUAUUUCUGUCUUCCUUAUGGAUCCCUUUUCCUUCCUUCCUUACCCAGGUCUGAAGAUGGUCACAUUUUUAAGGGGUUGCAAACUGCUUCAGAAAGCAAGGGCAGGACAGCCUGAGGCUCUGGAAAUAUGCUGGUGACACCUGAAAGAAACAGUAAUCUCAACUUCACCUAUCCAUAUGUAAGAACAGCAGUACCCUUGCUUCAUCAGUAGUUGAAUAUUAAUUGCUAGAAUCAGGGCAAAUUCCCAGAAUAUAAAAGGUUUUUUCUUACUGCCCUGUACAGUUAAUUUCAUAGCUUCCAGUGUUUGAAGUGGAUGACUUGUUUCUAAUGAAUCAAGGCGAACGCUGUCAGACCUCCUAAUGAUUGUUUCUAUCUACCAUACCAUAAAAAAUGUACAUAUGUAUCCUUCUUGGUUUACUGCCAGGCAAUCAAUGUUAAAACGUUGACAUAUGGGUGUGGGAUUUUUUGCUGUCUUUAAAAUAAGAUCAAUGACAUUAAGGUUUGUCAUGUAAAUAGUAGAAAUAAAGCAAAAAAAAAAGAGCUAUUUAUGGUUUUAGGAUGACAUCUGUAAUGUGGGUGGCAGUAGAAUGAAAAGUAGAGAAUUUCAAAGCUCUUCGUAGUUGAAUGAAUUGACUGAGCAUAUAUUUUUAGUGGUUUAAAAAGUGUUAGUUACCCAAAGUUCAUGCAUACAAACAAAAUAAAUCUAUGAACUGAAGAUAAAAUAAAUCUAUGAAAUGGCUGCA